rnacentral:misc_RNA from 1 species
AUCACGAUACGGAAAUCAUCCCGUUCUCUUCUCUGCGGAACCCAAAUUCUUUCUUAAAUUAUGCAAUUUACAGGAGAAAAGAAUCCUUUUUUUUUUUCUGUUUAUUACACAAACAUUGAUUUUCCAGUUUCCUUUUAUAAAUAUGUUAAACCACAAAAUUUAAAAAGUUAUUGUCUCACUUUGGCCCAAAGUUGCUUAUAACUUUCCACAUUUUGGUCCCAGAAUAAACUUAUCCGAAUUUAUUACGUUAUUUUUUACGAUGUAACUAUUUCAAGUUCGUUAUCAUAGCACUAUUAACAAGUUGUAACGCUUUCUACCUUAUUUUACAAAUAUAUAGUAUAUUUUUUUUAUACUUCAAUAAGUGUUUAAUAUUUUGAUAACAUUUUUACUAAUAAAAAAUUGCAGUUGGCGGAUAUUACUUUUAUCUCCUGUUUUUGUGAUUAAAGCACUGUACUAGCUUAUCCAGUGGUUAAAAAAACAUUUUGUAGUUAGCUACUACUUUAUUACAAAUGUAGUUAACUACUACUUUUUUUAAAUUUAGUGACUUCAAUCUUUUCGUAUGUAGUUACUAGUUUGCUGCCAGGCUUAAUUCUCACCCAUAUUCAAUUAAGAUAUAUUUAUUCAAGUUUACAUGUGUUGCUUUCUUAUUAUAAACCAAUUUAUUUUACGAAAUUUCCUUUUUUUUUUUCAAUCCUUCAACUUUUUAUACCUUUCUUCAUAGGAAAUAUUAAAGAAAUACUAGGAAAAUUUUUGAAAUUUCCAGAAAAUUAUAUGUACCUACUUUUUUUUAAUAAUUUAAGAGUGACUUUCAAUAGUAUUUAUUAUUUUUUUUUAAAUAACAAGGUCAUUUCUGUGUCAUUUUGUUUUAGUGUUGCAAUUAAAUUGAUUUGUAAUAUUGAAUCUUAUAAAAUGGGCAGGCCACUUAGUAAGAAUGGAAGAAGACCGUAUUGUUAAAAGGUUUUUGAUGCCCGGCCGACAGGAACACGUAGAAGGGGCAGGCCAAGUCUCAGAUGGCUAGAUACCCUGGAGAAAGAUCUAUCUAUAUUAAAAAUAAAGAAUUGGAAGUCCAUUGCCAAAGGAAGGACAGCUUGGAAAAAACUACUGGAGAAGGCCAAGGCCCAUCCUGGGCUGUCGAGCCAAUGAGGAAGGAAGGAAUAUUGAAUCUUAAAAAAGAUUUUUUAACAGUGUUUUCCCUCUUAAUUUAACUCUCUUUUCCUAUAGAUGAACUAGAUUAAAAUUCCUGAUGAUUUAAUGUAUUUUUAAUUGAAUUCUGUUUUUUAAUUUUUGGAAUAUUUAAGUUUUACUUAGAUUCUUAUAGCUUUUCUUUCUUUUAUCAGAAACUCAUAAAGAAUACUUUACUUCAACCAAAGCUAAAAUUGACAACAAGGUCUAUGUGAUGUAUCAAUGUUCCAUGUGCAGUUAUUCUUGCCACGGUAGAACUGAUAUGAAGAAGCACAUCUUGACACAUACUGGUGAACGACCUCAUAUAUGUCACAUUUGUGGGAAAGGAUUUGUACAGAAAAGUAAUUUAAAGGUGUACUUUAUAAUGAUCAGGCAUUGUUCUACCCAAUGAAAUCAACUUAUUGCAACAAAGUAUGCAACUCAUACAAAUGUGUACUGUGCUCAUAUACUUGUGUGAAUAUUGGUAAUAUGAAAAGACAUGUUAUUGUUCACACAGGAGAAAGACCCUACAUAUGCAAUCUGUGUAACAAAACUUUCAAUCAAAGUAACCACUUAAAGCGUCACGCUUUAGUGCAUCUAAGACCUUGAUUUAUUUUACUAAAAGAACUGUGUUUUUUUUUUAUUAUGUCUUUAUAAUAAAGUUAUUUGUAUGUUAAGUAAA